CAACCCCAGCAGUCCAUCUCAGAAAGCCAGUUUAUUUCAUGGUAACUAAGAAGAUGAAGAAGAAAUCCUUCAUGCUUCUUCCUGUUUGCCAGAAAUUCCUGCAGCUGAUGACUGCUGAAGUCAGGAUUUGAGGUCAUUGCCAAAGUUUAGAAAAUUAACUUGAAACCAACUUGGAAGCCUUCUGCACAGACUCUUCCCUUCUGCACGCCAUGAGUCGGCUCCCUGCUCCCAGAUCUGAACACUGGAUUUGAAACUCCCGGCAUUGUGCUAAUGUGCAUCACCACUUUGAAGUUUAUUGAGAAAUCAAUUUUUCUGGGUUUAGUUUAAUUAAUAAGUACCAGUCUUACAUCUGCUCAGAAGCUCUCCCAAGAAAGCUGCUCUAAGACUCCAGUGAUUACGCCAAGCUUCCUGUCUUUAUUUGCUCAUUUCUACCUUGACCUCAUCUGCAUAGAAGCCACUGCCUGAUGUUCAGUGCUGUAACCACUCUGAAAGGCACCUUUUUACCCAGGCAUCAAGUCUGAAGCAUGAGAUAUUUGUACAUGGCAGAAUGGAGGCUGUUGCUGUCAUCGACCUGGAAGGAUUACUGUUGGAAACAAUCACCACACUGAGGUUACUCCUGCAGUGUCUAACUGACCUACCUGAUGAGAAGGGAGCUGUUCCUCCUGAACGUUUCCAUUCCGUCUCUGAGGCACUCGGGCAGCGACUCCCCAUGAGCUACAACUGAAGGAGUGAUGAUCACAUCACGGAAAAGAGACUCAGAGACAGUGAGAAAUGAGCAGCUGGAGGUGUGACUGUAUCACUGGACUUGACAGAACUGGCUGCUUUACAUCAGCUCUAUCAUAUGGAUAAGAGCACACUGACAUGUUUAACUGCCAUUGGAUCAGACUCCAACUACAUAAGAGAAGAAAGUGUUUGACUGCUAGGGUGACUUCCUGAGUCAAGACCUUAACCGUCCUGCCUGUGAGACCCAGGGCUCCAGAUCCAAGCUCAGAGCCUUUGCUCCCCAAAGCAGUGAAGUUACUGCAGCUGUACCUGAGAGCUGACUGUGUGAGCUGCAAGUGCCACUGCACAAUGGGAUCAGUGACCGCAGGGUCACAGCAGUGAUCCGUUCCAGGGCACUGCAGCCCCUCCUCCUGCAUUUCCACAGGUAGGCUUGGGCUGUGUCCUUGGUCACGAAGGAAGUUUGAAAAGAAAGUGGGGGGGAGCAGAGGGGGAGGAAAGUGCACAACUAAAUUUUGAAAAAAC